UGGUAAUAAUCGUUUUCAAAUUUUUAAUAAGUUUUAUUAAAAAUUUGGACGUUUUUAUAAACAAUUUAAAAAUUUAAAGAUAGUUUUAAAAUUUGAAAUAUUUAACGGAUAUUUCCUGUUAAGGGAAUGAUUUUUUGUUUAAGCUUAAAAACGGCGCGAAAUAGACGUGUGAAUUUGUGUGGAAAAUUCUAAGUUGUAUUCUUUCUUGAUUAUCCAAAAUGUUAAAACAAUAUCGGUUAAGAUUUUUGUCAUCCCACAGCGAAGAUACUCUUGGUGCGUCAAUGAUUUAUACGUUUACAUGACAGUGGUGGUGUUGUUGUUUAGAGCCGGCCAAGCAAUUCUCUACCAAAAAGUCCACAGGCUUAUGCUUAAAUAAGAUAAAGUGAAAAUUUCUGUAAUACAGGUGGAAAACACAUUCCACAUGACAGUGUAAUGUCAACCAACUGACUCAGAAAUGGAAAAAUUGUCGAAUAGUCAUGAUGCGUAAGAAGCUUGAACUGAAAUACAACAAAGUUUCGACCAAAAGUCUCCUAGUGAAAUGAACUUCCUUUGCCAAUGAAAAUGGGGUUAGACAAACUCGUAGCCCAGCUGCAGAAGUAGAAGAUUUACUUAAUGGCCAUGCUGCAAGAGAUAAACCAAACGUGGAUUCCUAAAGAAAAAAAGGUUGAAGAAUUUCACAUCUUGAGGGUGAAUAAUAGUCAGAAAAUGUUAAUUUGUAAACGGUUAAGCCUUCUGUCGUUCCACAGCGAAGAUGCCCUUGCCGUUUAAUGAUUUAUAUAUUUACAUGACAGUCGUGAUUGUUUAGAGCCGUCCAAGCAAUUUUCUACCAAAAGGCUCUAUAGGCUUAUGAUUAAAGAAGACAAAGGGAAGAUUUCUGUAAUACAGGAUGAAAAUAAAUCGCACAUGACAUACACCUUUAACCAACUGAAUCCUAAAUGCAAAAUAUUGAAUAGACAUAAAACUUAACAAGCUGGAGCUUAAAUACAAGAAAGUUCCGACCAAGAGUCUCGCCGUAAUAUAAACUUCAUUUAUUAAUGAAAAUAUGGUUUGAUGAACUUGUUCCACAGCUUCAGGAGUAAAAGAUUUACUUAAUGACCAUGCUGCUAGAGAAGCUGAAUAUUAAACAAUAAAGAAACACAAGAUCAAAAUUCAAAACGAAAUUUUAUGAGGAAAUGUCAAAAACGAACGUCAAAAACGAUGCAGUAAUCACAUGCAGUGAAACUAGUCCAUAAGUUUUAGUGACCCGUGGUGGGUCAUCUCUUCAGAUAGGAGCAUUUGAUACUUCUUUAUUUGGAAUUUAUGAAAAAUUUCCAUAAUGGUCAACUCUUUUGUAAUACAUCACAAAACAGAUAGGGUUCUAUAAAUCGACUUUCGAAUAAUCGAACAAUCGACUUUUUGUCGGAAAAAGUCGAAAAGUCGAAGUUGACUAUCGUCUGUGAAAAAAGUCGAAAAGUCGACUUUGUGAAUAA